GCCGCCGCCCUGUGAGGAUGGCGGGCGCGGCGGGUCCGUGCCCGGCUGAGGGAACGCCCGCCGCCCCUCUGUGGUCUUAAAACCUGAAAGCGCCCCUUCAGCGGCACCGGAUGCUUCAGACCCGCUGAGCGGCAGCGAGACGAAAUAAGCGUCUGUCCUUGUGUUCUGUACGUUGAGAAGACAGCUGUUGGCACCUCGGGGCGCGUUACCGUUAACUUUUGCACAGCUGGAAUACUAUCGGGUGGCUCUGGUUUGGCUUUUGUCUCUCCUUGCAACGCUUCUGUUACUUUUCGGGAGUUCUGCACGUACCGGGUUCCUCCUCCUGGUUCUCCGUCACGGGUAUCGCUCGUGCCGCCGACCCACGCAGCGCUGUGUUGGAGAUCCCCACAGGAUCGCGGUCAGGAGUCAGCAGAGCCAUCGACGUUCUCUCUGCAGGGGGUAUAUCUCCCCCCUGAACAUCAGAAGGAGUCGGGCAGGAGCUGGGUUCAGCGCGCUUCUUUCAUGUUCCUGGCAAGUUUGAUGUUCGCAAAAUAAAAGCAUGAAGUUAUAAGGAGGGCAAGUGUAAUGAGGACAGAGUGGUGAGAGGUGCGUUGGGAGCAUCUAGUGAGAUGCAGAAGCACGCAGUGGCACAUGGACUAACAUGGAUACAUGUUGGCACACAGCUGGCACAAAGGGGCACAAAAAGAAACUCAACACCAUUAAUGAUCUUACGCCAGUGGUAUCCAAGUCACCGUAUUUAUGAGAAUAUUUAUUUGGUUUUGUUUUAUAUUUAUCAUAUUAACCAUUCAAGGAAUCAUAGGUUGUCCAAGGGAGGAUGUCCUAUCCUCAGCCUUGGAGAUUUCCAAGUCUCAGCUGGCUCAAGCCCUCAGCAACCUGGUCUGACCCCAGAGCCGAGUUACAGGAGGGUGGGCAGGGAGCUCCUGAGAUCCCCUCUGGCCCACGUUAUCCCAUCAUUCUGUGAUUCUGCGCUCACAGUGCAGAUAAGAAAGCCUAGGAUGUGGAUAAUAUUGUCUUGCAAGCCUUUGUGAGCAUUUUCUUUCUUUGCAGCUUUCUCUGCAGAAGGUAGAAAAAAAAAAACCUGCUGCACGGUAGCUGAGAUAGCUUUCAUCAGCUUGUGGCUUCCAGUGUUCCUUGUGUAAUGGAAACUUUUAUUCCGCUCCUUGUGGCAGUAAAAGAAUUGCAAAGAAAAUUACUCCAGUCAACUGAGACAUGCUGUUUCCACGUCCUCCUUCCUUCCAGAUGAUAUCUGUCAGGAUAUGGAUUUAGAAGUCAGCAGUCUGGAAGUGAAAUCCCUGAUCUGGGUGUGGAAAUGACCAGUGCAAAGGCUAAAACCUCUUAAGGGCAAGGAACACAAAUAGGAGGGAAAAAAAUAAGGCAAUCUUUUCAGACAAAGGAACAGCCUUUUGUGGGGAAAGAACAAAGGAAAAAAACAGAAGAAAGUGAUAAAGAGGACAUUUGGAACACUCAACAGAGAGAUGAGGAAGCAGUGUGAGCAACUUGGCAGAGUGUAAAAAAAGCAAUUGUUUGAAUAGCCAUAGUAAUAUACCAGGGCAAUGGAGGCUUGAGACUAAAAUUUUACAGGGUUUUAUUCUGGGCAGUGCACCAAGCAACAGGUAAUUGUUGGCAGGACUACAAGUUUAGAUUUGCAUACCGCUUUGAAUGUACAGCAGUGCACAAAAUGGGAGUUGAAUAGAGGCCUUCUGGCAGCAGCUUGGACCUUUACAAUUGUACUGUGUAGACAGAGUACUUGAAAAACGUUUAAAAUGGGGUGGCCAUGGCAGAACAGGGGUGCUUUUAAUUUUAACCUCCUUCCUACUUCCCUGUUUCCUCAAUACUUGACAGAGUACUUCAACUGCUGAGUUCUGUCCAGUACUUAGUAGGCUGGGCAAAUGGGCAAGAAUAGGGUUUAUGGCUGCACUUUGUUAUUAUUAUUAUUUGGACAAAAGCUAGCCUUGAGGUAGUUCAAUUCAGUGUGACAUCAUCAGAAGUACAACAAAGCCACUGCUGUUUCUUUUGUUUAUUUAGACUUGCAGGUGCUAGUUAUUUGCCUAUCUGGCAACAUCAAGAGAAAACACAUGAAGUCUGAGACAAACCGCUUCUAGAAAAAAAUCUGUCUGGAUAUAAAUAGAACAAAAUUUCAUAGUGAGAACAAAUAAAUAUUGGAAUAGGUGGCCCAGGGAAGUGGUAGAAUUUUCUCACUGGAAAUAUUCAAGAUUUGGCUUGACAGGGACUUGGACAACUGAACAACACGGCCCAGUUUGCAGCAGAAUGUUGGACCAGAUGGUCUCCAGAAGUCCCUUCUAACCUAGACUUCUCUGUGAUCUAUGAUAAUACUCCUAAUCAUCAUGUUUCAAAGUAAGUUGAAUAACAGAAGAAUGUUUUUUUCUUUCAUGUCAGGAAAGAGAGGAUUUCAGUGCCUGUGGAAAUACUAACUUUAUUAUGAAACAGAAAAGGAAGGAAAAGCAAUAGCUGCAUUGCACUCACAAACAUUAUUGCAACGGACUGUGAUCAGAACCAGCCUGGUAAAUCUGCACUACCCAGGUAGCCAGAAGAACAGAGAUUUCUGUUAAUAUUUAUCCCAAAAAGUCAUGAUUUUUUUUUCUUUUUUCUGCAGAGGGCUGUUUUAGAACAAUGAAUGUGCCAGUGUGUUCAAUGCAGUACAGCAAAAAUACCAGAGUUACAAUGAUGGAUGUGUGUAUAUGAAAGCAAGCAAUUUUUUGAGUAUUAUUCUUUUCUAUAAAAGCAAGAUAAAUGCUGACAUUUAAAUUGCCUUGAAAAAGACAGUCUUACUAGUGAUUUGACAGAGCUUAUCAAUUCUAAGUAUCUUGCUGUCAUAUAGAAGUGCACAAAAGAACUGAACUAAAAGGAGAUAUUAGAUACUUUCUAAAUUGUACAGAUCAAGACUGUAUGUUGCACUGCUACUGCAGCAAACCAUAGUGCUUAGACAAAUCAGCAUUAAUCAUUGUGAGAGACAUAACAGACACUGCACUUGGCAUGUGUAUAUCAGUUGCUUGGCAGUAAUGCAGAAAUAUAUUUUAAAAAAUGUUUUAGUGUUUAACAUAGAAGAAGAUAAAACAAAACAAAGCUAAUGCAACAGACGGACAUAUGUUUUGUAAGAUGCAGCAACUGCUGUAAUGAUAGCUAGAGCAAACACAAGCCAGAUAAGCUAAACAACAGAUUACUUGUUGCCCACGUUAACGACUAGAAGAGCAGGAGAGUUAGUGUAAGAAAAUCAGUGUGAAGGAAAGUAAUACACUCUUUCAUUACAUUUUUUUUCCCCUAGGAGACAAUGAAGAACUUCAUGUCCAAGAAUUAUUACCUGAAUACGUCUUGGUUAUAAUAAAUGGCAAAGAUUCUUGGUUCUCACUUCAGCAAUUUAUAUACCAGUUAGCAUUACUGCAGCAGAUCUAACAAAUAAAUUGUGCCAUUCACAAACAGAUCACAUCACACUGAGUGCUGGAGCUUCUCUUGCAUGGGCAAAUUCUUGCAUGCCUGCAGAUGAGAUGGAGAGGAGCAUGAAGCUAACAGGAUUACAAGGAUCAGCAGAUACAGCAUUGCCUCUCCAGCCUUCCAAAGGCAUUCUCCAGCUUCAGAGAGUCACAAGGCUGGUAUCAAAGGAACAGGAUUAAAACAAUGAUCUCGUUAAGUUCCCAAAUGGCAGGGUAACAUUAUGGCCAGCAACUCUGGCAGUAGGAACUGAGAGAGAAGGAAGAGAAGAAUAGGGAAACUGUUCAUCACAGGUCUGGGGAUAAAUUAUUUCAAAGUUAAGGUAAGGUGCAGUCUCUUUUUUCUGGUGAGGUUAUUGGUUUCACAGGACUUUUCUGUGUAAGUCUUUAUGGUGUCCAGACUGUUCAUCCUUCUCUAUCACCAGAACAUCUAGAGCAGUACUCCAGAGAAUCAGCUUAUUUAUAAUAGGUCAAAUUUAGAAUAUGUUUUUAAAAAGCAAUCAUGAUACGCACGUUAGUAAUACACCGUGCAAACAAAGAACUUGGGUAUCUGAUUAUAAAAAGUAUAACAGAAUAUGUUCGCAAUUCUUUGUACUCCAAAUGAACUGGGAACCAAAGACACAGUGAAGGGUCUUUACAGAUGGGAUAGAAAUAAAUAUACCUUCUCUGAGAUGUAUACAGUUAGCCAGGUGCCUCUCUCCUAAUUUUGGAGUAGAGAUUCUAUUUAAGCAGCAUUCUCAAGUUUUGCUUCACUUAAUGUCUUUAAGACCUAAGUGCUUCUGUGUUCCUACUCAAGAAUUUCAAGUAUGAAAACCUAGACAACUUAUAGCCAUCACUUACAGUGUAGCAUUCAUGACCCUGUUUCACUUUUUAAUGACUAGGAAAGAAGUUUUUUACUCUAAACUUUCUACUGUUCCAUUCUAAAUAUGUAUUUUUGAGGAACAAGAUGUAUGCUGUUUGGAUACUAAGACUGGAAAUCCUAGCUCUGUUGCAAGGCUAAUGUCUACCUGAGCCUCACUGUGAGCUAGCUGUAUGUAUUUAUUAACUGUUAGCAGAGAAUAACUGAACUCUGACAUGUAACCAUUAGUACGUUAUAAGAAAGUUUAAUUGUUGAAAAGUUGUAAAAAUCUCUUGGGUUAUGGAUCAGAUUCAAUUGUGUGGACUAAACUGACAUUUAUCACAGAAUUGUUAAGGUUGGAAAAGAGCUCUAAGAUCAUGAAGUCCAACUGUCAGCUCAUCACCACCUUUCCCACUAAACCACUAAACCAUAUCCCUCCGUGCCACAUCUACAUUGUUCUUCAGCACCUCCAGAGACAGUUACUCCACCACCUCCUGGGCAGCCUGUUCCAAUGCCCUCACCACAUCUCUGGAGAAGAAAUUGUUCCUAAUACCCCAACCUGAGCCUCCCCCAAUGCAUUUCCACUCAUCCUAUCACUGUUAAAAGAGGUCUCCUAUAGCUUCCUCUUCUCCAGACUAAACAAUCCUAGUUCUCUCAGCCACUCCUCAUAAGACUUGUGCUCCAGACCCCACACAGCUUCGUUACCCUUCUUUGAACACACUCCAGUGCCUCAGUGUCUUUCUUGUAGUGAGGUCCCCAAAACUGAUCACAGCACUCGAGGUGCAGCCCCACCAGUGCCAAGUACAGAGGGACGAUCACUUCCCUGCUCCUGCUGGCUGCUCUACUCCUGAUACAAGCCAAGAUGCUGUUGGCCUUCUUAGUCACUUGGGCACACUGCUGGCUCAUGUUCAGCUGGCUGUCAACUAACAUCCCCAGAUCCUUUUCUACUACGCAGCUUGCCAGCCACUCUGCCCCAAGACUGUAGUGUUGCAGGCAGUUGUUGUGACCAAAGCGUUGGCCUCAGCCAAUUAACUGAUGAAUGUUUUUCAACCUGGCAGGGUAAAAUGAUGAGUGUUAUCUAUAAUUGGUAUUUUAUGAGCACUGGUAUUCAGUGAUAUUCAAAUGAAUGCUGUUUGCAAGUUGAAUGGCAAGAAGACAGAACUGGGAAGAAAAUAAGGAGUGAGGAAGGAAGGUAACAAAGCCUACUAGUGCACUAGGUCAUGCGCUUGUUGGCCUGAUCACAUUUUGUCCAGCACCACCUUGUACACUAUGUUCUCUCACAGAACGACUGAAAGAUAGAGAUUCUUUUACAAAUAAUAAAAUCUCACUACCAAGAUAUCUUCUGCUGUUGGAGUAUACAUUUGCCUCGCUUUUCCUCCUUGAUGAGUAUCAGUAUUCGGACUGUCAUCCGUAUCUUCUGAAGUAACAAAACUUGGGGGGUUGAUCUGUUUUCUUUCUUUGAAUAAUUACCACACACACCAUUUUUCUCUCUUCCCUACAAUAUAGUAGCACUUCAUAUGCUAUCUUCCUGUGAAGCCUUUCCAUUAAGGAUCAAUCAUAAUCUACCCUUCUCCUGUCUGUGGGUUUUCAGUACUCUCAGAGUAGUUAAAGCACAGCCUGCUUUUACUUUUUUGAAGGGUAUUUUAUCAAAAUACUAUUUUUAUUUAUUUGCUUGUUUGUUUGUUUGUUUUUGCUACCCAGAACAAUUGUGAUUCUGUUAGAGUAUCUUCCCCAACUACACCUUAGGACCUUCUUCCAGCCUUCUGAAAACAGCCCGUAAGAGUAACAUUUUUCUGUGUUACUGGGAUGUAAGGGAGUCUGAAUGUAUUUCACCCACGAGCCUGUCCUGAGAAAAGUGCUGCUUUUAUCUUUUGAUAUAUCUUCCUGGUACUCUCUGCAACCUAGUUUUGACAUUUGAACGAUAAUGGUUAUCAGUUUCCUCUGGCAAUACAUAAUUAUUAUGUAUCCUCAAUGGCUUUAUUGUUAUUGCAGCUGUCUUUGUCAAGAGUACCUUGUUAUUCUGUUUACAGAAGUCAGCUGACUUAAAUGGCUGCUUUCUUUUGGAGAAAUCGUAUACAGUAGUUUUGGGUAAUUACUCUUCUCUCCCAGUGGUAUCCAUAUCACUUAAAUGGUUUCACUGGUAAGGUUAUGCUUAUCUGCAGAAACAUUUAAACGUAUCAAAACUGUGCUUGUGAGGCAACCAAGAAGGUUGUGGAAGAGUACACAUAGGAUGAACCCUGCAGUUCCCUCUUAAGCAAAGGCUGCAAUCAAGUGCUGUUUUGCACUCUGUUGAAGCAAGUGGCUUCUUGCACACCUUACAAUUAGACAAGCGUUGGUACACAGAGGAAGUGGCCCACAGCUUGGCACAGAUUUUAUCAGUCUCUCUGGUGAGUUGUCUGCAGCUGAACAGCUUUGUGGUCAUGGUAAGAGCUGUGUAUUUGGCUGACAACCACUGCAAGUUUAUUACUUGUAUGGUAUGACUGCUUGCACUGAGAAUAGAUCUUGUAGUCGAGUUUAUGUCUUAGUCAAGUCAGGGUUAAAUUACAGUGAGAUGAUAAAGAAGUGAGUGUGAAGGCAAUCUCCUUCUGCCUCCUCUCCUGAAAUAAAGCAGGAAGCUGAUAGAAAAUACAGCAGCAUAGCAUUUAUGUAGUGCACACAUUUGGGUAUGAGUGAUCCCAGUACAUUCACUGGCUGCCUCAUGGAUCCA